rnacentral:rRNA from 1 species
UACGUAGGGCGCAAGCGUUAUCCGGAAUUAUUGGGCGUAAAGAGCUCGUAGGCGGUUUGUCGCGUCUGCCGUGAAAGUCCGGGGCUCAACUCCGGAUCUGCAGUGGGUACGGGCAGACUAGAGUGUGGUAGGGGGAGACUGGAAUUCCUGGUGUAGCGGUGGAAUGCGCAGAUAUCAGGAGGAACACCGGUGGCGAAGGCGGGUCUCUGGGCAGUAACUGACGCUGAGGAGCGAAAGCGUGGGGAGCGAACAGG